rnacentral:tRNA from 1 species
GGACGAUUAGCUCAGCCGGCCAGAGCGCCCGCCUUACACGCGGAAGGUCGCAGGUUCAAAUCCUGCAUCGUCCA